UUCGAUCAUGGCUCAGAUUGAACGCUGGCGGGUCUUCUACACAUGCAAGUCGAACGGCAGCACGGACUUCGGUCUGGUGGCGAGUGGCGAACGGGCGGAAAUGUAUCCCGGAACGUGCCCUGGCUGGCAGAGAUAACUACGCGAAAGCGUAGCUAAUACCGCAUACGCCCUUCGGGGGAAAGCGGGGGACCUUCGGGCCUCGCACUAUUGAAGCAGCAAUCGGUUGGCUCGUUGGUGGGGUAACGGCUCACCAAGGCGACGAUCCGUAGCUGGUUUGAAGAGAGCGACCAGCCACACUGGGACUGAGACACGGCCCAGACUCCUACGGGAGGCAGCAGUGGGGAAUUUUUGUAAUGGGGGAAACCUGAUCCAGCCAUCCCGCGUGUGCGAUGAAGGCCUUCGGGUUGUAAAGCACUUUUGGCAGGAAAGAAACGGCACGGGAUAAUACGAUGCAGCGGUAAUACCUGCAGAAUAAGCACCGGCUAACUACGUGCCAGCAGCGGUAAUGCGUAGGGUGCAAGCGUUAAUCAGGAUUACUGGGCGUAAAGCGUGCGCAGGCGGUUGGAAAGAUCUGAAAUCCCGAGAAUGCGUAGAUAUGCGGAGAGGACACCGAUGGCGGUAACCUCCUGGGGGUAACACUGACGCUCAUGCACGAAAGCGUGGGGGAGCAAACAGGAUUAGAUACCUGGUAGUCCACGCCUAGGCGAUGUCAACUAGCUGUUGGAGCCAGCUGGGCCUUGGUAGCGCAGCUAACGCGUGAAGUUGACCGCCUGGAAGUACGGUCGCAAGAUUAAAACUCGAAGAAUUUGACGGGACCCACCCGGCGGUGGAUGAUGGAUUAAUUCGAUGCAACAUGAAAGCGCCACCUACGCGGCAUAUCUAGGUCCCGAAGAGAUUUGGGAGUGCUCGCAAGAGAACCGGAACUGAGUGCUGCAUGGCUGUCGUCAGCUCGUGUCGUGAGAUGUUGGGUUCGUCCGCAACGAGCGCAACCCUUGUCAUUAGUUGCUGAAAGGGCACUCCUAAUGAGACUGCCGGUGACAAACCGGAGGAAGGUGAGGAUGACGUCAAGUCCUCGCGGCCAUAUGGGUAGGGCUUCACACGUCAUACAAUGGUCGGGACAGAGGGUCACCAGCCCGCGAGGGGAGCCAAUCCCAGAAACCGAUCGUAGUCCGGAUCGCAGUCUGCAACUCGACUGCGCGUGAAGUCGAAUGCUUCAAUAAUCAUGGAUCAGCGCUAUUAAGCGGUGAAUACGUUGGUCCACAUGCCACCGCCCGUCACACCAUGGUGGGUUUGCAGAAGUAGUUAGCUGGCAAUAAGGAGGGCGGUGCGGUAAGAGUUUGCAGCUGGGGUGAAGUCAUCUUCAAGGUAA
rnacentral:rRNA from 1 species